GGAGCUAUCAACAACCACUAUAUAAUGGCGGUCAUCAUUAAUUAAAGAAACUCGCUUUACAAUCGUAAACACCCGAUAAAUCUAACUUAAUGUCUAAAGUUUAUAUACCGCCGUUAAGAAUUUACUAAAAAAAUAAUUCACUAACUUAUAAUAACCAAAAAUCAGGUCCAGGUGUAACCUAUCAUUAAGAAAAAGUAAGUUACAUUAAAUAAAAUUUAAGAAAAUAAUAAUAAAAACCACAAUAGAAAUCGAAUUUAUAUGUACAAUCUAAUUAAAAUAUAGUUUAGAAAUAAAAA
rnacentral:rRNA from 1 species